CGGAGGAGCUAGCGUUGUUCGGAAUUACUGGGCGUAAAGCGUGCGUAGGCGGUUAUUCAAGUCAGAGGUGAAAGCCUGGAGCUCAACUCCAGAACUGCCUUUGAAACUAGAUAACUAGAAUCUUGGAGAGGUGAGUGGAAUUCCGAGUGUAGAGGUGAAAUUCGUAGAUAUUCGGAAGAACACCAGUGGCGAAGGCGACUCACUGGACAAGUAUUGACGCUGAGGCACGAAAGCGUGGGGGAGCAAACAGGAUU
rnacentral:rRNA from 1 species